rnacentral:lncRNA from 1 species
GCCGAUUCCCGGCCAUUCCGGCCACCUCCGGUCCCCAUCUCGCCGUCGAAGGUUCGGUUUUCAUCACUGAUCAUUUCCCCUAUGGCCUUGUAUCACGAUUUGUUGUGUAGAUGCCGAAUCGACGAAUUGAAAUUCUAGGGUUCUUGAGGAUUUCUGGGUUUUGUUCAUUGAUCGAUUUCGGCCGUUUUUAAUUGUUAUUUGGGAAUGCUGUAGUUGAGAAGUUGAAUCAGUGUGUUGAGUAGGUGCUGCUGCCAAAGUUUGGUGGCCAUCGGAGCUGGUGGCGGUGGCGGCGGUGCCGCCACUGUGGGCGGCGGUAGCGGCGGCUAGGGUAGC